UACGUAGGGGGCGAGCGUUGUCCGGAGUACUGGGCGUAAAGCGCACGCAGGCGGUCUGCUAAGUUUGGAGUGACAGUUGGUGGCUUAACUGCCAAAGUGCUUCGAAAACUGACAGACUUGAGGGCUUCAGAGGGACACGGAAUCCGGGUGGAGUGGUGAAAUGCGUAGAGAUCGGGAGGAAGCCGGUGGCGAAGGCGGCGCUCUGGAACGUUCUGACACUGAGGCUCGAAAGCGUGGGGAGC
rnacentral:rRNA from 1 species